ensembl:snRNA U1 U1 spliceosomal RNA
AUACUUACCUGGCGGGGAGAUACCAUGAUCACGAAGGUGGUUUUCCCAGGGCGAGGCUUACCCAUUACACUCCAGAUGUCCUGACCCCUGCGAUUUCUCCAAAUAUGGGAAACUCAACUGCAUAAUUUGUGGUAGUGAGGGACUGUGUUUGCACUUUCCCCUG